UACAGAGGGUGCGAGCGUUAAUCGGAAUUACUGGGCGUAAAGCGCGCGUAGGCGGCUUUGCAAGUCGGGUGUGAAAUCCCCAGGCUUAACCUGGGAACUGCAUUCGAGACUGCAUUGCUAGAGUAUGGGAGAGGGAAGUGGAAUUUCCGGUGUAGCGGUGAAAUGCGUAGAGAUCGGGAGGAACAUCAGUGGCGAAGGCGGCCAUCUGGGACAACACUGACGCUGAAGCACGAAAGCGUGGGGAGCAAACAGG
rnacentral:rRNA from 1 species